CAUGCAUGUCUAAGUAUAAGCAAUUAUACGGCGAAACUGCGAAUGGCUCAUUAUAUAAGUUAUCGUUUAUUUGAUAGCACCUUACUACUUGGAUAACCGUGGUAAUUCUAGAGCUAAUACAUGCUAAAAAUCCCGACUUCGGAAGGGAUGUAUUUAUUAGAUUAAAAACCAAUGCCCUCUGGGCUCUCUGGUGAUUCAUGAUAACUUCUCGAAUCGCAUGGCCUUGCGCCGGCGAUGGUUCAUUCAAAUUUCUUCCCUAUCAACUUUCGAUGUUUGGGUAGUGGCCAAACAUGGUUGCAACGGGUAACGGAGGGUUAGGGCUCGACCCCGGAGAAGGAGCCUGAGAAACGGCUA
rnacentral:rRNA from 1 species